ACGCUUACGACNGGCAGCACAUAUAGUAAAGUUGGAACGAUACAGAGAAGAUUAGCAUGUCCCCUGCUCAAGGAAGUCAACGCAAAUUCAUGAAGUGUUCCAUAUUUUU
rnacentral:snRNA from 1 species